rnacentral:rRNA from 1 species
UACGGAGGGGGCUAGCGUUGUUCGGAAUUACUGGGCGUAAAGCGCACGUAGGCGGCUUUGUAAGUUAGAGGUGAAAGCCCGGGGCUCAACUCCGGAAUUGCCUUUAAGACUGCAUCGCUAGAAUUGUGGAGAGGUAAGUGGAAUUCUGAGUGUAGAGGUGAAAUUCGUAGAUAUUCGGAAGAACACUAGUGGCGAAGGCGACUUACUGGACACAUAUUGACGCUGAGGUGCGAAAGCGUGGGGAGCAAACAGG